GACGAACGCUGGCGGCGUGCUUAACACAUGCAAGUCGAACGCUGAAGCUUGGUGCUUGCACUGGGUGGAUGAGUGGCGAACGGGUGAGUAAUACGUGAGUAACCUGCCCUUGACUCUGGGAUAAGCCUGGGAAACUGGGUCUAAUACUGGAUACGACAUGCCACUGCAUGGUGGUGUGUGGAAAGGGUUUUACUGGUUUUGGAUGGGCUCACGGCCUAUCAGCUUGUUGGUGGGGUAAUGGCCUACCAAGGCGACGACGGGUAGCCGGCCUGAGAGGGUGCCCGCCCAACCGGGGAUGGGGGAACGGCCCGGACCCCUAGGGGGGGAAGCGGGGGGGAAUAUUGCAAAAUGGGGGGAAGCCGGAGCCAGCGCCCCCGGGGGGGGGAGGACGGCCUUGGGGUUGUAAACCUUUUUCGCCACGGAAGAAGGGGGGGGGACGGUAGGGGCAAAAAAAGCCCCGGCUAACUACGU
rnacentral:rRNA from 1 species